UCUUCUUCCCCAACUCUCUGCCUCCUUCAUUCUUCUCGACCGAGAGUCACAAAGCUCUACACAACGAACAACCAUCAUGGCUCCAACAAAGACCACAUGGCCAAACAACGCAUCGUGGUGGCCACGAUUCUCUGACUCUAAUCUCACUCGUUCUUUCUCUCGGCGAUAGUCAUAAAGCUUCACUCGCGUAGCCGGCAGGCCACUCUUACCCGAACACCCACAAAUCAUCCCUAACUUAGUUCUCAACGUCUACGUUCUAAGGCCAACCAAACGAGACCCCCACCAAAGCAAAAUGGAAACCAUCUCUAUUGCUCCAAAUCGACACCCACUCCUUAUACUUUCAACCGAGACCCUCUCAAUUGACCUCUAAAGGACCAAAGUCAGUCCCUAAACCUCUCGAAGCCAAACCACAACCACUCAUCUCCAGACACUCUGUCUCGCGGCCAAGAACCCGAACCCGAACGGUGAUGGAGUCAACGAGACUCCACUGGAACUCACACAACGCAGGUGAUGACAGCUUCUAGAAGUAUUUGGUGAUGGUUCUAUGUUGACUUGGCAGUGCAGUAGGAGGCAUGCGUGGAUGACAGUUGAAGUUGGUGGCAGUUUGCUUUAGGAUUAGGAUUUUAGCAAAUCUUAAAUUCACUAGGUCGGGUCACUGAACCGGGUCACACUUGAGCUUGAACCAACAUCUUGUAAUUGGGUUGAUAUUUGUAACUGGGUCUUGGGCCUGUAAAAUAUAAUAAGUAACAUUAAUAAUAAUAAUAAUAAUAAUAAUAAUAAUGUAUUAAAAG